rnacentral:lncRNA from 1 species
GUUCCACACAUAGAACAGGGGGAGACUUGAAUCCUAGAGAAAACAAAACAAAACCUAACAAAACAGAAAUGAACCCUUGAUGAACCUCUUGCUCUGGACUGGUGCCCUGAAAAUGAAUGAAAUUGUUUUAAAGAUUACCAAGAAGAUAUAAAAUAUCAAAUGCGGCAUUAAUGUAUGGAGUCUCACUCUGUUGCCAGGCUAGAGUGCAGUGGCAUGAUCUUGGCUCACUGCAGCCUCUUCCUCCUGGGUUCAAGCGAUUACCCUGCCUCAGCCUCCCGAGUAGCUGGGACUACAGGUGCCCGCCACCACGCCCAGCUAAUUUUUGUAUUUUUUUUUUAGUAGAGAGGGGGUUUCACCAUGAUGGCCAGAUGGUCUGGAUCUCUUGACGUCAUGAUCCUCUGGAUCUCUUGACGUCAUGAUCCACCGGCCUCGGCCUCCCAAAGGGCUGGGAUUACAGGCAUGAGCCACCAUGCCCGGCCUCUUUUUACUUUUUAAUUGUGGCUACCAGUUUGAAAUUACAUAUGUGACUUAUAGCAGCAAUACAGCGGGAUAAAUGGAAAGUAUCUAGUUAUUCUAGAUUAAAUAAUCGAUCCCUUUUCCACUAAAUUUAAUGGCCAUCUUUUACCUAUAUUAAAUUACUUUAUUAAAUAAAAAUGUUUCCUCAACUUUCUGUUUUCUUCUGCUUAUCCACUUCCCUAUCCUUAUUCUAAUCACACACCAUUAACAUGAAAGGGACUUUCUAAUGUGAGGUAGAUAUAAAUGCUUCAUCACUAUUGACCACAUUUUUGUUCCUUUUCUUAAUUAUUUCCAUAUAUUUAUUCUUC